rnacentral:lncRNA from 1 species
AAGAGUUCUCCUGUCUGGCAACAUGACUGAAAAAUGUCUACAAAAGCCUUUCUCUAUUUUGUGGCUUAGAAAUAGGAUCUACAUGCUAAGUACAAGCCCUUCGAACACACUUUUCCCAGAAGAGUUCUCCUGUCUGGCAACAUGACUGAAAAAUGUCUACAAAAGCCUUUCUCUAUUUUGUGGCUUAGAAAUAGGAUCUACAUGCUAAGUACAAGCCCUUCACUGAAAGAUGCCAGAGUCCUCCUUGAACUCUAA